AUGAACGCUAGCGACAGGCUAACACAUGCAAGUCGAGGGGUAACAGGGUAGCAAUACCGCUGACGACCGGCGCACGGGUGAGUAACGCGUAUGCAACCUGCCUAUAAACUGGGGAAUAGCUCCCUGAAAGGGGGAAUUAACACCGCAUAACACUAUUGAUUCGCAUGGAUUAGUAGUUAAAUGUAGCGAUACAGGUUAUAGAUGGGCAUGCGUGACAUUAGCUAGUUGGUGAGGUAACGGCUCACCAAGGCUACGAUGUCUAGGGGUUCUGAGAGGAAGGUCCCCCCACACUGGUACUGAGACACGGACCAGACUCCUACGGGAGGCAGCAGUGAGGAAUAUUGGUCAAUGGGCGCAAGCCUGAACCAGCCAUGUCGCGUGCAGGAAGAACCUGCCCUAUGGGUUGUAAACUGCUUUUAUAGUAGAAGAAACACAUCUACGCGUAGAUGUCUGCCAGUAUACUAUGAAUAAGCAUCGGCUAACUCCGUGCCAGCCGCCGC
rnacentral:rRNA from 1 species